rnacentral:rRNA from 1 species
GACGGGUGAGUAAUGUCUGGGAAACUGCCUGAUGGAGGGGGAUAACUACUGGAAACGGUAGCUAAUACCGCAUAACGUCGCAAGACCAAAGAGGGGGACCUUCGGGCCUCUUGCCAUCAGAUGUGCCCAGAUGGGAUUAGCUAGUAGGUGGGGUAACGGCUCACCUAGGNGACGAUCCCUAGCUGGUCUGAGAGGAUGACCAGCCACACUGGAACUGAGACACGGUCCAGACUCCUACGGGAGGCAGCAUG